GACGAACGCUGGCGGCGUGCUUAACACAUGCAAGUCGAACGGAAAGGCCCUGCUUUUGUGGGGUGCUCGAGUGGCGAACGUGUGAGUAACACGUGAGUAACCUGCCCUUGACUUUGGGAUAACUUCAGGAAACUGGGGCUAAUACCGGAUAGGAGCUCCUGCUGCAUGGUGGGGGUUGGAAAGUUUCGGCGGUUGGGGAUGGACUCGCGGCUUAUCAGCUUGUUGGUGGGGUAGUGGCUUACCAAGGCUUUGACGGGUAGCCGGCCUGAGAGGGUGACCGGCCACAUUGGGACUGAGAUACGGCCCAGACUCCUACGGGAGGCAGCAGUGGGGAAUAUUGCACAAUGGGCGGAAGCCUGAUGCAGCAACGCCGCGUGCGGGAUGACGGCCUUCGGGUUGUAAACCGCUUUCGCCUGUGACGAAGCGUGAGUGACGGUAAUGGGUAAAGAAGCACCGGCUAACUACGUG
rnacentral:rRNA from 1 species